GACGAACGCUGGCGGCGUGCCUAAUACAUGCAAGUAGAACGCACAGUUUAUACCGUAGCUUGCUACACCAUACACUGUGAGUUGCGAACGGGUGAGUAACGCGUAGGUAACCUGCCUGGUAGCGGGGGAUAACUAUUGGAAACGAUAGCUAAUACCGCAUAAUAUUGAUUAUUGCAUGAUAAUUGAUUGAACGAUGCUAUUGCAUCACUACCAGAUGGACCUGCGUUGUAUUAGCUAGUAGGUGAGGUAACGGCUCACCUAGGCGACGAUACAUAGCCGACCUGAGAGGGUGAUCGGCCACACUGGGACUGAGACACGGCCCAGACUCCUACGGGAGGCAGCAGUAGGGAAUCUUCGGCAAUGGACGAAAGUCUGACCGAGCAACGCCGCGUGAGUGAAGAAGGUUUUCGGAUCGUAAAGCUCUGUUGUAAGAGAAGAACGGGUGUGAGAGUGGAAAGUUCACACUGUGACGGUAUCUGACCAGAAAGGGACGGCUAACUACGUG
rnacentral:rRNA from 1 species